rnacentral:rRNA from 2 species
UGGAGAGUUUGAUCCUGGCUCAGGACGAACGCUGGCGGCGUGCUUAACACAUGCAAGUCGAACGGAAAGGCCCUGCUUGCAGGGUGCUCGAGUGGCGAACGGGUGAGUAACACGUGGGUGAUCUGCCCCUGACUUUGGGAUAAGCCUGGGAAACUGGGUCUAAUACCGGAUAUGACCAAGGAUUGCAUGGUUCUUGGUGGAAAGCUUUUGCGGUUGGGGAUGGGCCCGCGGCCUAUCAGCUUGUUGGUGGGGUAAUGGCCUACCAAGGCGACGACGGGUAGCCGACCUGAGAGGGUGAUCGGCCACACUGGGACUGAGACACGGCCCAGACUCCUACGGGAGGCAGCAGUGGGGAAUAUUGCACAAUGGGCGCAAGCCUGAUGCAGCGACGCCGCGUGAGGGAUGACGGCCUUCGGGUUGUAAACCUCUUUYAGCAGGGACGAAGCUUCGGUGACGGUACCUGCAGAAGAAGCACCGGCCAACUACGUGCCAGCAGCCGCGGUA